GACGAACCGUCCUAACGUUGUUCGGAAUCACUGGGCUUAAAGGGCGCGUAGGCGGGCAUGCAAGUCCGGGGUGAAAGCUUUCGGCUUAACCGGAAAAGGGCCUUGGAUACUGCAUGUCUAGAGGGAGGUAGGGGUCUGUGGAACUUCGGGUGGAGAGGUGAAAUGCGUUGAUAUCCGAAGGAACGCCGGUGGCGAAAGCGACGGACUGGACCUCUUCUGACGCUGAGGCGCGAAAGCCAGGGGAGCAAACGGG
rnacentral:rRNA from 1 species